AUUUGGAAAAUUAAAAUCCCUCCCAAUAUCCAUGUUUUUCUGUGGUUGAUAUACUAUAAUAAGAGCUUGACCAGAGAUAACCUAGCCAAGCGUAGACAUGUAGAGGACAAGGCCUGUGUCUUUUGUGAUGAACCAGAGACGAUUCAACAUCUCUUUUCUGACUGUAUUGUUGCUAGACAAGUUUGGGAGCUGGUUGCUGAAAGUUUUAACAUUACUGUACAUGACUCCUUUGUUCUGCUCUCUUCUUUCUAG
rnacentral:rRNA from 1 species